rnacentral:rRNA from 1 species
UAGAGUUUGAUCAUGGCUCAGGACGAACGCUGGCGGCGUGCCUAACACAUGCAAGUCGAGCGAGAAAGUACCCUUCGGGGUGCGAGUACAGCGGCGAACGGGUGAGUAACACGUGGGCAACCUGCCCUGAGGACCGGGAUAACCUCGGGAAACCGAGGCUAAUACCGGACGUGUCUGUUCCACAUAAGUGGUUCAGGCAAAGGUAGCUUAGGCUUCCGCCUCAGGAUGGGCCCGCGACCUAUCAGCUUGUUGGUGAGGUAACGGCUCACCAAGGCUACGACGGGUAGCUGGUCUGAGAGGAUGAUCAGCCACACUGGGACUGAGACACGGCCCAGACUCCUACGGGAGGCAGCAGUGGGGAGUCUUGCGCAAUGGGCGAAAGCCUGACGCAGCAACGCCGCGUGAAGGAAGAAGGCCUUCGGGUUGUAAACUUCUGUCAGGGGGAAAGAAGGCACCUGGGUUAAUAGCCCAAGGGCUGACGGUACCCCCAAAGGAAGCCACGGCUAACUACGUGCCAGCAGCCGCGGUAAUACGUAGGUGGCAAGCGUUGUCCGGAAUUAUUGGGCGUAAAGCGCGCGUAGGCGGCCUGUUAGGUCCUCUGUGAAAUCUUGGGGCUCAACCCCAAACGUGCAUGGGAAACCGGCAGGCUAGAGUCUGGGAGAGGAGAGUGGAAUUCCUGGUGUAGCGGUGAAAUGCGUAGAUAUCAGGAGGAACACCAGUAGCGAAGGCGGCUCUCUGGAACAGUACUGACGCUGAGGCGCGAAAGCUAGGGGAGCAAACAGGAUUAGAUACCCUGGUAGUCCUAGCUGUCAACGAUGGACACUAGGUGUCGGGAGUGUCGACUCUCUCGGUGCCGGAGCUAACGCAUUAAGUGUCCCGCCUGGGGAAUACGGCCGCAA